rnacentral:misc_RNA from 1 species
AAAAAAAAAGGAAGAAGAAGAAAAUUGGAAACAAACAGCAGCUGCUGCGUCUGGUCUCUGGAACGCAAAUUACAUAUCCCCAGAAGAGAAAACUGAAACAACGAAUCGAUCAGACGAGGAAGAUAAAGAAGCGAGAGAGAACAAGAACAAGUGUGUCUGAGACAAAAUUGAAGAGAGAAUAAUGGAAAUGAAAACACAGAAAUAUAGAAUGAGGAAGAACAGAUAAUCUUGAGAUCUUUGGGUUUGAUGCGGAGAAAACCCUAGCUUUUUCAGAAGAUCUCGCGAAAGGGGAGUUCAAAAAGUUUGGUUUUUCUUUUCUUUUCUUUCUGCUUCUAUGAGAGAGAG